rnacentral:misc_RNA from 1 species
CCGAAUUGUCAACAGGAGUUGUUGCUGGUCCUCAAACGGGGGCAUGUGCACGCUCUGUUCACACAUCCACUCACACCCUGUGCACCCUCUGUAGUUCUAUGGUUGGGGGACCUGUCCUCCUGCUAUCGUUCUGCGUUUUUACACACACAUUGUAACAAAGUCUUAUGGAAUGCAUGUCGCGUUUAACGCAAUACAAUA